UGGGGAAUAUUGCACAAUGGGCGCAAGCCUGAUGCAGCCAUGCCGCGUGUGUGAAGAAGGCCUUCGGGUUGUAAAGCACUUUCAGCGAGGAGGAAGGUGGUGAACUUAAUACGUUCAUCAAUUGACGUUACUCGCAGAAGAAGCACCGGCUAACUCCGUGCCGGCAGCCGCGGUAAUACGGAGGGUGCAAGCGUUAAUCGGAAUUACUGGGCGUAAAGCGCACGCAGGCGGUUUGUUAAGUCAGAUGUGAAAUCCCCGGGCUCAACCUGGGAACUGCAUUUGAAACUGGCAAGCUAGAGUCUCGUAGAGGGGGGUAGAAUUCCAGGUGUAGCGGUGAAAUGCGUAGAGAUCUGGAGGAAUACCGGUGGCGAAGGCGGCCCCCUGGACGAAGACUGACGCUCAGGUGCGAAAGCGUGGGGCAGCAAACAGGAUUAGAUACCCCUGGUAGUCCAGCGCUGUAAACGAUGUCGAUUUUGGAGGUUGUGCCCUUGAGGCGUGGCUUCCGGAGCUAACGCGUUAAA
rnacentral:rRNA from 1 species